UACAGAGGUCUCAAGCGUUGUUCGGAUUCAUUGGGCGUAAAGGGUGCGUAGGUGGCGCGGUAAGUCGGGUGUGAAAUUUCGGAGCUUAACUCCGAAACUGCAUUCGAUACUGCCGUGCUUGAGGACUGGAGAGGAGACUGGAAUUUACGGUGUAGCAGUGAAAUGCGUAGAGAUCGUAAGGAAGACCAGUGGCGAAGGCGGGUCUCUGGACAGUUCCUGACACUGAGGCACGGAAGGCCAGGGGAGCAAACGGG
rnacentral:rRNA from 1 species